rnacentral:rRNA from 1 species
UACGGAAGGCAGCAGUGGGGAAUAUUGCACAAUGGGCGCAAGCCUGAUGCAGCCAUGCCGCGUGUAUGAAGAAGGCCUUCGGGUUGUAAAGUACUUUCAGUCGUGAGGAAGGUGUUAAGGUUAAUAACCUUAGCAAUUGACGUUAGCGACAGAAGAAGCACCGGCUAACUCCGUGCCAGCAGCCGCGGUAAUACGGGAGGGUGCGAGCGUUAAUCGGAAUUACUGGGCGUAAAGGGCACGCAGGCGGUUAAUUAAGUUGGAUGUGAAAUCCCCGGGCUUAACCUGGGAAUGGCAUUCAAGACUGGUUAGCUAGAGUCUUGUAGAGGGGGUAGAAUUCCAUGUGUAGCGGUGAAAUGCGUAGAGAUGUGGAGGAAUACCGGUGGCGAAGGCGGCCCCUGGACAAAGACUGACGCUCAUGUGCGAAAGCGUGGGGAGCAAAC